CAACGCUGCUCCGUGGCUCACAGCUUUGUAUUUUCUAAAUGGCACAGUGGGUUGUUGUCUGUCCAGACAACACAACAGUGGCCCCACAGGAUGCAGGCUUCGACCACCAUAAGCCACAGGUCUCACCCUCCCUUCUUGCUCCUGCGCCAGCACUGCUCCCAAUCCAGAAUGGCUGGCAUCCACCUCAAAAAUAAAAGGCAGAGAAAAAUCAGCAAAUGCUAGAGUGGGCGCACUUACGAGGCGGGACUUCAGCUCCGUAAAGCACUCCUCACACUCCUCACACCAGGCAUCACUCAAGACAGGUCCCUUUACCCUUCUUGUUGUUAGGGCCAGCCAGCUCUGUGGUCAGCCACAUGUAGGUGGAGGGUGGCUACUAGAGUCUCUCUGUGGGCCUUCUCUGAUUGUCAGCUUGCCAUUGCUGCUCAAUUGAGUUUAUUUUUUAUCCAUGUCCGGGUACAAACCGUUUUUAAGAAGACUGAACAGAAAUAAAUAAAGGCCCUGUUUUUCUCUA